GAGGAUAUAGUUCAGUGGUAGAGUGCGUGCUUAGCAUGCACAAGGUCCUGGGUUCAAUCCCCAGUACUUCCA
rnacentral:tRNA from 1 species